UGAAAUCCAAAAUGUAAAGAGAGCCCUUGCUUUUGCAUCAAAAAGCGGAAUGUGCAGCUCAAGCCAAUGUCCUACAUAUACUAUCCACACUGAUGAGGUAGUUGGGUUUGAGUGUAUUUGGGCUGUUAAUGAUGACGAGCUCAAAGCAAUUGUGGCACAGAAACCUGUAGUAGGGAUAUUGAGGAACGCUGUUCUGAAUUCAGUGACAUAGGAAGUAGGAUUUAUAGAUCACCUAGGAGACAUGUUG